rnacentral:rRNA from 1 species
AGAGUUUGAUCCUGGCUCAGGAUGAACGCUAGCGGCAGGCUUAACACAUGCAAGUCGAGGGGCAGCGGGGAGGAAGCUUGCUUUCUCCGCCGGCGACCGGCGCACGGGUGAGUAACACGUAUGCAACCUGCCCCUGUCAGGGGGACAACCCGCCGAAAGGCGGGCUAAACCCGCGUACAUGCCACCGGGGCAUCCCGGAGGCAGGAAAGGCUUCGGCCGGACAGGGAUGGGCAUGCGGCGCAUUAGGCAGUAGGCGGGGUAACGGCCCACCUAACCGACGAUGCGUAGGGGUUCUGAGAGGAAGGUCCCCCACACUGGUACUGAGACACGGACCAGACUCCUACGGGAGGCAGCAGUGAGGAAUAUUGGUCAAUGGUCGGGAGACUGAACCAGCCAAGCCGCGUGAGGGAGGAAGGUACAGAGUAUCGUAAACCUCUUUUGUCAGGGAACAAAGACGGGGACGCGUCCCCGGAUGAGUGUACCUGAAGAAAAAGCAUCGGCUAACUCCGUGCCAGCAGCCGCGGUAAUACGGAGGAUGCGAGCGUUAUCCGGAUUUAUUGGGUUUAAAGGGUGCGCAGGCGGUCUGUUAAGUCAGCGGUCAAAGCCCGGGGCUCAACCCCGGCCCGCCGUUGAAACUGGCAGUCUCGAGUUGGAGAGAAGUAUGCGGAAUGCGCGGUGUAGCGGUGAAAUGCAUAGAUAUCGCGCAGAACUCCGAUUGCGAAGGCAGCAUGCCGGCUCCACACUGACGCUGAGGCACGAAAGCGUGGGUAUCGAACAGGAUUAGAUACCCUGGUAGUCCACGCAGUAAACGAUGAAUGCUGGCUGUCCGGGGGGACUGACCCCUGGGUGGCGAAGCGAAAGCGAUAAGCAUUCCACCUGGGGAGUACGCCGGCAACGGUGAAACUCAAAGGAAUUGACGGGGGCCCGCACAAGCGGAGGAACAUGUGGUUUAAUUCGAUGAUACGCGAGGAACCUUACCCGGGCCCAAACGGGGAGUGGCGCAGGCAGAGACGCCUGUUUCCCACGGGACACUCCCCGAGGUGCUGCAUGGUUGUCGUCAGCUCGUGCCGUGAGGUGUCGGCUUAAGUGCCAUAACGAGCGCAACCCCCGCGUGCAGUUGCUAACAGAUAACGCUGAGGACUCUGCACGGACUGCCGGCGCAAGCCGCGAGGUAGGCGGGGAGGACGUCAAAUCAGCACGGCCCUUACGUCCGGGGCGACACACGUGUUACAAUGGGUGGUACAGCGGGAAGCCAGGCGGCGACGCCGAGCGGAACCCGAAAUCCACUCUCAGUUCGGAUCGGAGUCUGCAACCCGACUCCGUGAAGCUGGAUUCGCUAGUAAUCGCGCAUCAGCCAUGGCGCGGUGAAUACGUUCCCGGGCCCUUGCACUCACCGCCCGUCA